rnacentral:lncRNA from 1 species
GCUGGGGACCGACUCGUUCGUCGCUACCGGAGAAGAACGGGAGCAACUUUUUUCCUUUUUAUUUUUUUUUGGGGGUGUCUUUUUCCCCUCUUAUUUUUUUAUUUUUUUUUAUUUUUUGUGGCUUUUUUGGGUCGCCUGACUCGUGAGUGGAAAUAAAAUAUCCACGGGUGCCUCCACGAGGAAAGCUGAGACACUUCCAGCCUGAGCCGUCCGUGAGCUGCUGCUGCUGCCUUUUCUACCCACCCUGGCUGCCCCUUGUCGCCUGGAAAAGGAAAAGAAAAAGGAAAAAAAAGAAGAAAAAAGGAUUUUUUUUAUUUUUUCUCCGCCGGCCGGGGAAGGGAGGCGGCGGGGGAAGCUCCCGAGCCCGCGGGGACACCGGAGAGGGUGGUGGCAGAGCCAGGCCACCCGCCAUCGACCUCGGCGCUGGUGUGGAUACCGCCGGUCACAAAGGAGAGGAAAAGGAACCACCCUGCGAUGUUUUAUUGAAAAGCCCUUCUCCCCCGGUUGCCUCCCGCGGGGUCGGGUGGCUCCGCCGGAGCGGAGCCGUCUGCGGGGUGAAAUGCAUCUCCCCCCCCACAACGAGCUCCGCCGCCCAAAGAGCAUCCCCGGGGCAUCUUCUGGACCGUCGGUGCUGGGAGGAGGAUUCUCACCGGGGACGAGGCGUCGUCGUGGGCCCCGAGAAACCGGCUGAGCCUCCGCCGAGGCCGCCGCUACCGGCUCCGGUCGGGGAGGAGCGGGAUGUGCCGUCUCUCCGGGCUCGGUCCCCCGACGGAAAAGGAGGUGUCCCCGGUGCCUGCGGAGGUGGUUCAACCCCAACAUCCCAAUCCGGCCCCGGGGGAGAACCGGGAGAUGGUGGGAAUGUGAUGGCCGGAGAGGCAGGGCCUGGAGGCGGCGGCUCGGCGGGGGCACCCGCUGCACCGGGGGAAACCGGGACCCGGCUCCGGCCCCGCCGGUUUCUAUUUCCGAGGAGAGGAGGCGGUAAAGUUUUACAGCAGCCCUGCGGGGUCUUUGCCAAUUUGCUUGGCAUCGGGCAGCGGUGGUUUGCUUGGUUCUGGGUGUCGGGGCGCAGGUGUCUCUUUAGGGUUUUUUGGGUGUUUUUUUGGAUAAAUCUGUGUGUAUGUAUAAAUAUGUGCAUUCUCCUGCCAGGGAUGCUCUUGCUCAGAGGCUGCAGGCAGCUUACCUGGGUGGGUGACAGGGUUUUGUGGAGGGCAGAGUGCCCAGGGCGUGUGGCCGGGGGCCCUGCAGAUGUGGGGGCAGAGCCACACAGCCCCUCUCUGGGUGAGCAGUGUCUUGCUGGGGCUGCUUUUGUGGAAUUUGGCAGUUUUAUACCUUCCUGUGCCCUUGCUGUGGGGUUUGACCAUCCGACGGGCCGGGCACAUGCCAUACUUGCUGGUCUGGGUGCCUGUGCCACUCUGGGACCCCAGCUUGGCAAAUCCUUGGCAUGUGGGCUCCGGUGCUGGGGGACC